rnacentral:sRNA from 1 species
AGAGGAGGGCGCAUAUGAACCGUAGGUUCAUAUUUAGGAUGCGCCCGACAAUCUGCCGCUGAACGAAUGUGAGGGGGCGCUCC